rnacentral:rRNA from 1 species
CGGGUGAGUAAUGUCUGGGAAACUGCCUGAUGGAGGGGGAUAACUACUGGAAACGGUAGCUAAUACCGCAUAACGUCGCAAGACCAAAGAGGGGGACCUUCGGGCCUCUUGCCAUCGGAUGUGCCCAGAUGGGAUUAGCUAGUAGGUGGGGUAACGGCUCACCUAGGCGACGAUCCCUAGCUGGUCUGAGAGGAUGAUCAGCCACACUGGGACUGAGACACGGCCCAG